rnacentral:rRNA from 1 species
GCGCGAAAACUUUACAAUGCGAGAAAUCGUGAUAAGGGAACCCCGAGUGCCCGUAAAUUCGGGCUGUCCGUCAGUGUAAAUAGCUGGUGAAGAAAGGGCCGGGCAAGACCGGUGCCAGCCGCCGCGGUAAUACCGGCGGCUCGAGUGGUGGCCACUAUUACUGGGCUUAAAGCGUCCGUAGCUUGAUUGUUAAGUCUCUUGGGAAAUCCACCGGCUCAACCGAUGGGCGUUCAGGAGAAACUGGCAAUCUAGGGACCGGGAGAGGUGAGAGGUACUCCAGGGGUAGGAGUGAAAUCUUGUAAUCCUUGGGGGACCACCUGUGGCGAAGGCGUCUCACUAGAACGGCUCCGACAGUGAGGGACGAAAGCUGGGGGAGCAAACCGGAUUAGAUACCCGGGUAGUCCCAGCCGUAAACGAUGCGCGUUAGGUGUAUCGGUGACCACGAGUCAUCGAGGUGCCGAAGGGAACCGUGAAACGUGCCGCCUGGGAAGUACGGUCGCAAGGCUGAAACUUAAAGGAAUUGGCGGGGGA